rnacentral:rRNA from 1 species
UACAGAGGGGGCAAGCGUUGUUCGGAAUUACUGGGCGUAAAGGGCGCGUAGGUGGCCUUCUAAGUUGAACGUGAAAUCCCUGGGCUCAACCCAGGAACUGCGUCCAAGACUGGGAGGCUUGAAUCCGGGAGAGGGAUGCGGAAUUCCAGGUGUAGCGGUGAAAUGCGUAGAUAUCUGGAGGAAUACCGGUGGCGAAGGCGGCAUCCUGGACCGGCAUUGACGCUGAGGAGCGAAAGCCAGGGGAGCAAACGGG